rnacentral:lncRNA from 1 species
AAAGGACUUCUUUGGCUUAUUGCCCAAGUUGGUGUUUACAGCAUCUUUGAGGGUCAAAAUCAGUCUUGUUUAUAACCUCUUCGGUGUCUCAUACAGUAGGCAUUCAUAAUCUACUUAUAAAUUACAAAAGAGUGGUUGGUUACAGCUUUCCCCAAAAUAAUUUUUUUAAGUUGUUUUCACCCUUGUAACAUCUGUUCAACCUGAAGUUCAUCAUUAUAAUGUAUAAAGGCUACUUAAAUCCUUCUUCCUCAAAGUUGAACAUCAGAUAAAAUAUAUAAGCUGAACAUGGAAGCAAAGCUAAU